AUUUGUUUUUAAGUCUAUUGUCAGAAUUUUUUAAUUAUUAUGUAAUGCUAAGCAAUAUGUUAGUUGAUAUUUAGGUCAGUUAAUAUAACAAAAUAAUUAUUUGUUAAUUAUUAUAAAUUCACAUUAACCUCUUGAGAAUUUUUGAAAGUCCAUUUGCUUUUUUCAACUGGCUAAAAGAAUGUAGGGACAAUCUAAAAACCAGCCAGCCUAAUUACUGAACCACUAUUGUAAUAAUGGUUUUACAUAUGACCUUAUUAUUUAAAAAAAAAAAGAAAACCAUGGGAUUUAGAUCUAGGUCAAGGUAAAGUUAACUAAACAAUAUAACCUUUUUUA